UACGUAGGGUGCAAGCGUUGUCCGGAAUUAUUGGGCGUAAAGAGCUCGUAGGCGGUCUGUCGCGUCGGUCGUGAAAACUUGGGGCUUAACCCUGAGCUUGCGGUCGAUACGGGCAUGACUGGAGUUCGGCAGGGGAGAACGGAAUUCCUGGUGUAGCGGUGAAAUGCGCAGAUAUCAGGAGGAACACCGGUGGCGAAGGCGGUUCUCUGGGCCUGUACUGACGCUGAGGAACGAAAGCGUGGGGAGCGAACAGG
rnacentral:rRNA from 1 species